UGCGUAGGCGGUGCGGUAAGUCUUCUGUGAAAUCUCCGGGCUUAACUCGGAGCCUGCAGGGGAAACUGCCGUGCUGGAGUAUGGGAGAGGUGAGUGGAAUUCUCGGUGUAGCGGUGAAAUGCGUAGAUAUCGGGAGGAACACCUGUGGCGAAAGCGGCUCACUGGACCAUUACUGACGCUGAUGCACGAAAGCUAGGGGAGCAAACAGGAUUAGAUACCCUGGUAGUCCUAGCCCUAAACGAUGAUCGCUUGGUGUGACAGGUACCCAAUCCUGUCGUGCCGGAGCUAACGCGUUAAGCGAUCCGCCUGGGGAGUACGGUCGCAAGGCUGAA
rnacentral:rRNA from 1 species